rnacentral:rRNA from 1 species
UACAGAGGUCCCAAGCGUUGUUCGGAUUCACUGGGCGUAAAGGGUGCGUAGGCGGUCGGGUAAGUCUGACGUGAAAUCUUCAAGCUUAACUUGGAAACUGCGUCGGAUACUAUUCGGCUAGAGGAAUGGAGGGGAAACUGGAAUACUUGGUGUAGCAGUGAAAUGCGUAGAUAUCAAGUGGAACACCAGUGGCGAAGGCGAGUCUCUGGACAUUUCCUGACGCUGAGGCACGAAAGCCAGGGGAGCAAACGGG